rnacentral:rRNA from 1 species
AACGAACGCUGGCGGCAUGCCUAACACAUGCAAGUCGAACGAGACCUUCGGGUCUAGUGGCGCACGGGUGCGUAACGCGUGGGAACCUGCCCUUAGGUUCGGAAUAACUCCCCGAAAGGGGUGCUAAUACCGGAUAAUGUCUUCGGACCAAAGAUUUAUCGCCUUUGGAUGGGCCCGCGUUGGAUUAGCUAGUUGGUAGGGUAAAAGCCUACCAAGGCGACGAUCCAUAGCUGGUCUGAGAGGAUGAUCAGCCACACUGGGACUGAGACACGGCCCAGACUCGUACGGAAGGCAGCAGUGGGGAAUAUUGGACGAUGGGCGAAGGCCUGAUCCAGCAAUGCCGCGGGAGUGAUGAAGGCCUUAGGGUUGUAAAGCUCUUUUACCCGAGAUGAUAAUGACAGUACCGGGAGAAUAAGCACCGGCUAACUCCGUG